rnacentral:sRNA from 1 species
CCCUAGCCCUGAUGGGAACGGCUUCCUUUUGCAAAAAUAGCUUUGGACUCGGAUGGAUUUUGCAAAAGAUAUAGUGGACAGCAGGUUCCCGG